GACGAACGCUGGCGGCGUGCUUAACACGUGCAAGUCGAACGGAAAGGCCCUGCUUUUGUGGGGUGCUCGAUUGGCGAACGGGUGAGUAACACGUGAGUAACCUGCCCUUGACUUUGGGAUAACUUCAGGAAAAUGGGGCUAAUACCGGAUAGGAGCUCCUGCUCCAUGGUGUGGGUUGGAAAGUUUCGGCGGUUGGGGAUGGACUCGCGGCUUAUCAGCUUGUUGGUGGGGUAGUGGCUUACCAAGGCUUUGAAGGGUAGCCGGCCUGAGAGGGUGACCGGCCACAUUGGGACUGAGAUACGGCCCAGACUCCUACGGGAGGCAGCAGUGGGGAAUAUUGCACAAUGGGCGGAAGCCUGAUGCAGCAACGCCGCGUGCGGGAUGACGGCCUUCGGGUUGUAAACCGCUUUCGCCUGUGACGAAGCGUGAGUGACGGUAAUGGGUAAAGAAGCACCGGCUAACUACGUG
rnacentral:rRNA from 1 species